GGAAAAUGCCUCUCCCGUUCUCUCUUCCCUCUCUAAAUAUGCUCUCGUUGAAUCUCUCAUCUCUCUCUAAAACCAGAUAGAAUGUAAAUCUCUUCAAUCUCCUCCUCUCGAGCAGGAGAAUGGAAAAGGAGUCCACCUCACUAAAGACAAGCACAAAGGCAAUGAAAGGUUUUUUCUCUCUCUAAAAUAUGGUUCCAAUAGCGGUUUUUCUCCAACCAGGAUUGGGACGUAUGAGUAUUGAAUGGCCUUUUCUCUCUCUAAAAUAUAGUUCUAAGGGUUUUCCUCCAACCUAAACUGGGGCACAAGAGUUCUGAAAGGAAUUUUCUCUCUCUACAAUCAGGUUCGAUGGAGAUUUUCUAUCGAAAACAAGGGCACAGAUUUUUAUCUAGCAUGUACUCUAUCUCUCCACCUCUCGCUUUCUUCUCUCUUCUCUCCCAUCGCCUCUUCUAUUUUCUCUUCUCUCCCAUUGCCUCUUCUAUGGACUAUCCAAUUUCGUUAUCUAUCUUCUCUCUUCCCUCUUUCCCCUCAAAAAAUGAGAGAAAUACUCAAAUAUACCACUGUGAAUCUUCUCCACAAAGGCCUCCCCUGAAUUUUAUUUUACGUAGGACACUUACCGAUUGGCGUUUACAUCUAUUACUCUUAUCUUCCUCUCGUUUUUCUCCAUAUCUGUUACAAAAUGGAGCUUUUAUCUAAGAUGAGAUAUUUAGUGAUUAAUAUUUUGAUUGAAAGUUAUGGAUUCCAUUGAACUUUGUAGGUUUUCAUUCAAAGUUUGAAGAUUUUUUUUGCCCUUGCACGACAGGAUUUGCAAUUUGCAGGUACGUCUGUUUUUCUUUUCUUUUUUCUUUUUUUCUGAAAUUUUAUGAUAUAUUGUCGAUUUUUUUGAUACACUUUUGUUUUCUUGCAGUGAAAUUUAUGGAAAAUGAAUAAUUUCUUGCAAAGAUUUUGACUGUCGAUAUUAAUUGUUUUCUUUAUUUUUGACAUGAUGUGGAUUUUCCUAAAAAUUCUGGGGGCACAUGCUUUUAUUUUUGGCUUAUAAAUUGCUUAGAAAACGAACAUAUUUAUGUGGUAUCCGUUUCUUUAUAUUUAAGAAAUAAUUAUAUGGAAUUAUCGAUGAUCAGUUUUUUUGGAUGCAUGCUCAUUGAUUUUGCUAUUUAUUGGAGUCAUGUGGUACUUGUAAAUCCUGAAUGUAAUUUUCAAAACAAAAAAUUGUUGAUGAGAAUGCCCAAAUUUCAUUUUGGUUGAAUAAGUUGAAUCAUCAUCUCUGCGUUCCUAGGAGUUUUUAGUUGAGCACAUUUUGUGCCCUCAAUGUCUAAUUGCAUGGUUGUAGGCCCCUACUGGCUAUGGCAGGCAGUAUGCUUGUUUUUGCCAUUCAAACAUUUAACAUGAUGCCUGCAUCCAAGGAGGUUAACCAUACACUUACUUGUUCAGUUUUCGGGACCUCAAAAGUGUUCCUGUCAGGAUUUGGCACACCUCGAAGGCGUCUAUGGGGGAAUUAAUAUGCUUAACAAUAGAUGAAAGUUGGGUUUCCCCACGGGCUUGUCCCUCACUUCAUUAGCCAUUACCCAUUCUUUUUAUUUUCAAGUUCAAUUGGUUAUUCAACUCUCAUGUAAUGGUUAUCCGGCUUUGAUUUGUUUCACAUUAACAUGAUUUUAGGGGCUGCUUCUUCUUGUAAUCGUGCCGGUGCAAAUGUUGAAACAUGUAAAGAUCUUAAUUGGACCAAGCAUACUUACAGGAACAACAACGCCUAAAUUUGGAACAACCCACAUUCUGCAAGAAUAUAAUUGAAACUGGGAGUAAAAUACAUUUGUCGUAUUAAACUGAGCUAAAAUUUCUCCUCUAUCUCUCUUGAUGGGGAACUUUGUGUCACAAAGUAUAUGGUUGAUGUAAAUAGACCCGAUCUAGAUUGCAUCCCAUCAUGAACAGAACCUCUAUU
rnacentral:lncRNA from 1 species